GCCGGAGUAGCUCAGUUGGUAGAGCAGCUCACUUGUAAUGAGAAGGUCGAGGGUUCGAUUCCUUUCUCCGGCA
rnacentral:tRNA from 1 species